AGAAUGGCUCAGGUUAACCCAAACUGUCAAUUCCCAACAGUUACAAAUGCCCACGGUUCUGGCAACAUGUACAUACUACCUCCGUCCCUCAGUACAUGAACAAAUGAGUAGAAUCAUUUAACAUGUACUAACAAGAAAUAGCUGCAACCGGUAACUUGCUGGGGAGCAAGGCCUCCUAGUAUGACAGCCGAUUGAACAUAUUACCAAGGAACCAAGGAGAUGCCAAAUGAUCUCCAAGGGGCAGUCAAAUCAUCACAGCCACCAGUUCCAAAUGCCUGUGUGGUUACAACCGUAAGAAACUAAGGACUGUUUUGAGUAAAACAUGGUUGAAAACAAAGGAAAUGUACUUGAAUGGCUCAGAUUAACAACUGUCAAUUCCAAACAGUUACAAAUGCCCUUGGUUCUGGCAACAUGUAACUACUCCCUCCAUCCCAGUGUACAUGAACAAAUGAGUAGAAUCAUUCAUUAUAGCAUGUACUGACAAGAAAUAGCUGCAACUGGUAACUUGCUGGGGAGCAAGGCCUCCUAGCAUGACAGCUAAUUGAACAUAUUACCAAGGAACCGAGAAGAUGCCAAAUGAUCUCCAAUGGGCAGCCAAAUCAUCAUAGCCAUUCAAGAAAUAAAAAAAUAACAAACAAUGAAAUAUGCAUCCACAGAAGUAUGCUGUGAAAGUAUGAAACAACAAAAAGAAAGAUCACGCUAAAGCUAACUGAAUAAACAGUUAACAUUCCUUUAUUAGUGUUACAUUACUUAAUUUUAGAAAAAAGAAACAAUUAAGCUCCUAUGAGCAAGUAUUGUCAUCACCGUGCAGUAAGCAAGUUAGACUACAAGUAUUGCCCUGGUACCAUAACAUCCCCCCAUUUAUGAUUUAUUCAUUCUGGGAAGACUUCGUGCUCAUUAAAGUGCCUGCUGGUAAAAAAGUAAGAACUAAAAUACCAUUGAGCUGAUUACCAACAGGAUAUUGCAAUGGGUAAAAAGUAGCAAACUGCCAUCGCGAGACAUGCUUGCUAAUUUGCCAGAGCACUGUAAAAUGUCGGUUGUGGGAGAAGAUAACACGAAUAAAACAAAAGGAAAUAAGUUGCGCUGAAGUGCUGAUAAAGACUGAAGAUAAAUAAUACACAAAGACGACUAUUUUUUGGUCGGUAGGGAUAUCAGCACAGGCAUGUGACAAUGCUCAAUGCACCCAUUGGAAAUUAGUAUUGAGAAUUCAAACGGUUGGUACCUCCAAUGGGUGAAUCCUUUCUGCUCUAAAUCUAGCCAGGAAAACAAAAUGAUGCAACGCGUUUGUGCAAAUUCCGUGGAAUACAGAAAAUAAAAUAAAUUUACAAACUCAAAUAUCAAAACAAGAGGGGAGAUUUUUUGCCUUUCGCCACUGGAUAAGAUCAAGGCAACGUGCAAGUGCGAAUUCAGUGGCAUACAUGAAAGGCAAAAUGAGAUUUAUGAAUCCAGACAACUCGGAUCCAUACAAGUACAACCAGGAAAACUAAAGACUGCUUUUGGGUAAAAUAAUGAUUGAAAAGAAAAGAAAUAUAUUUGAAUGGCUCAGAUUAACCUAAAUGGCAAUUCCAACAGUUCUGAAUGCCCGUGGUUCCGGCAACAUGUAAGUACUCCCUCCGUCCACUUUGUACAUGAACAAAAUGAUGAGUAGAAUCAUUCGUUAUAGCAUGUACUGAGAAGAAAUAGCUGCAACUGGUAACUUGCUGGGGAGCAAGGCCUCCUAGUAUCACAGCUAAUUGACAUAGGCAUGUCCUGUAGCAAAAUUUGCCUUGAACAUAUUACCAAGGAACCAAGAAGAUGCCGAAUGAUCUCCAAUGGGCAGCAAAAUCAUCACAGCCAUUCAAGAAAUUAAAAAUAACAACAUGGCAUUUUCUGACAUUUAAGGUGGUGUUUGAAUCUCCUGAAGAUGAAGGCUGUGUUUAGUUCACACUGAAGUUUGAAAGUUUGGUUUAAAUUGGAACGAUGUGACUGAAAAGUUGUGUGUAUAAAAGGUUUGAUGUGAUGGUAAGUUGGAAGUUUGGAAAAAAAACUUUGGAACUAAACAGGGCCAAAGAUAAAGAUUAAGUGUUUCACGCAAAACGAGGUGGUAAUAAAGUGAAAUACUAUGCCACUGCUUCAGAUAUCAAUGUUGCAUUUGCUGACAUUUAGUAGGUAUAUGCAGAAUGGAAUGACCCUUUCCAUGUGAAAAUCAAUCACCAAGAAAACCAGAUAGAACAAAACGGAAAUAUUAGGGAAGGACCUAAUAUCAAAUAAUUAUAAGGGGUGAGGCUUCGAACCCAGGUCGUCUAGCCCACCACCUUGUGGAGUUAGCCGGAAGACCCCUAGGCGUUUCUCCGGAUAGAUAGAACUGAACCCCAUAAAACCAUUCGUCCGUAUUACUCCAAAUCCCGUUGCAAAGCACGGGCAUAGCACUAGUGCAUGAAAAGAAAAAGGAACUGUAGCCAAUGCGAAGAAUACAAAUGCUUGAGGAACACAACUGCAUCGAGCACCUUCAUUGGGCUCAGCUUCGCCUUUGAUCAAUCAAAUAACCCAACCCCCACCAUCCCUUAUCACCAGACCUAUCAGUUCUAGCGGUAGUGGAGCUACCCUGGUUAUCAUUCGAAACGAAUGACCAUCCAAGGACAAAGCCACUGGCAUUAGCACAUGACUAGAAAGGCUCAAAGGGGGUAGAGGGAGGGUCCAAUUUAAUACCCACAGCAGCCUCAAUUGCUUGAAGGCAUGCUUAUUUCAGCCAAGGUCGAUCGUCAUCGCCCUCUGUGUUCAUUGCGGACCAUACGUAGUACCCUGCCACAAAUACAGCAUAUGCUGAUGCGAUCACCAACACUAAGAGCAAGUAUAAUAGUAUAGCCAGAUCUACAGCCUGAUUUUCUUCUUCUUCUUCUUCUCUCUCUCUCUCUCCUCCAAUUGUACCUGCUCUAACGAGCCAAGUCGGCUCAAGCUCACGACGACGACCAAAACCCCCAAGAGUCCACAGCCGAUCCGGACACCACCCUAGGUUCCAAUUGCCUUCACUGCACGGCGGCGGCUCACCUUAGAGAUGGGAAUCCGGACGCUGCGGCCUCUCGGCGGAUUGAUCGUCGGCAAGCUGUGGGAAGGAAUUCCUGCGAAACCCCUUUUAACAAUGGCAUAAUCUCCAAUUUCUCGUCGUCAGCAAGCAACUGCACUUGACAUUGGGUCGGUUAGGGUAUAAACACACAAGCACACAGCACACGGUGCGCCAUAGAGGCCGUGAGGGAGAAGGACGAGGAAGAGAGAUUGUGGUGGUGAUGACCGAAUCUCGAAAACGUGGCUAAAAACGAAAUCGAAAGAAAAUCCAUGGCGAGGCGGCUCAGAUCUCACCUUGGCCGACCCGCCCUCCCCUUACCGGAAGCCGCGGCAUCGCCUCCCCACCGCCCCCACGGUCCCCGAUCCCCCAACGCCGAUGCGCCCCGUGGCGGCGCGGACGGGGGGAGGGAUGGCCCCGCGAAGGCGGAGGGUUCCGACGCGCGCGGCCGCCGCUCGGGGAGACGCGUCCGCGCCAAGGGCCGGGGCCUCCUCAUCGCCGCCGGUGUUCCCGAGAUGGCCGCGGUCUCGAUCGGGUGGUGCGGUCAUCGGCCGCCGCGAGCAGGACGGACGGAGCGGCGAGGUCGAGUACUCGCCGUCGCCGGCGCCGCCGCUCGCGGUGGCCUCACACUUAAACUAAUGAUGAGUGAGCGGCGGUGGAGUCCGCGGCGGAGGGUUUUGUGUGGGGUUUCGGGAGGAAGACGAUGCGGUGACGUCAGCCCUGUCCACGCGUCGCGUCAGGAGGGCUGUGAGGAAUAGAUCCAACGGACAGGAUUAGCGCCGAUUACAGUGGAGGCAGCAGAUUGAGCCCGACUCGGUGGCAUAGAACCACGGGUGGAUUCAAGUUAAUGCAUUUUGGUUGAAAUUUAAGGAAAAUUGGUUGUGUGACAUUAAUAGAUGUCGAUUUCCAAAAAUAAACCAUCAAAAGAUUCCAAUACUUAGGGGGCAUGUACAACGGUCUUUAUUAGUGGUCUCUUUCUAUUGUCAUGCAAUUAAAUUCGAUGACGCUCUCUAUUGUCAUGCAAGUAGAUUCGAUGACAUAGAAGAAAGAUAAAGGAGUAUGACAUAGAAGAAAGAUAAAGGAGUAUGAUUGUUAUGCAUGACAACGGCUCAGAAUCGACUCUUAACAUUUAUUAGAGCAAAUUUUGUUGCAUGGUGAUGAAAGAAAGGAAAGAAGAGUAAGAAAAAGUAUUUUGAUACAUUAAUGAUUAGAGACCAUAUUAUCUCUAACUGUUGUAGGAUGCUAGUCUCUAGAUAACGUAGAGCUCAUUUCUGACUCUACCUUUGUAUAUGCCCUUAUUCCCAAAAACACUCAAUUGAAAUAUUACAAUAUUUAAAAAUAUACCACUUUAGAUGUUUUACACGUUUCCUACCAUGUGAGCAAGAAAGUGGUAGAUAGGGCACAAUCUCUUUCCCUCCCGCUCUCCACCUUACUCUUUCUCCCUCUAUCUCUCACCACCUAACAACACAAACAAGUGACGACAAGAGCCCUCCAACAAAGCCCCUUCUCCUUCCUCCAGCCUUCCUCCAGCGAACUCCAAUGAAAGAAAUGGUGCAGCAAUAAACUAAGCACCUUACUACCUCCAAUAACAUCAUUCCUCUAGCGGAUUCCCUUCGCCCUCUUUUGACGACGCCAGAUCUAGCUCUCAACUCCAAUACCUCCCUCUUCUGCUUCCACCGCCACCACCUAGCCUCGCCACCGCCAAAAAGUAUCAAUGUAUUGGCUUUGCCUUCUCCCUCUCUCCUUUGCCUCCCUUUGCCACCACCGCCAAUGUCGGCCCAUCGUCCGCUGCCGACCCUAUGCCUUCGAUAGCACCGCCACCUCCGCCUCGCCCCACCCUUAUCCGCAAGUCCAUCACCUCCAAAGCCAAUCUAAGCUCAGUCCCCACUUUCCCUCUCCAAUAGCUAGCCCUUCCCCUCUACCCCACCCUGUCCCGAGCUUAACAUCACGUGAUCAAAAACCACACGUGACAUAACCCUGGCACGCGUAUAAAUUAGGAUUCCUGUCUAUUCUGUGCCUCCACACCAUGAACUUUCUUUUGCCCUCGAGUAUUGCAUUGGGAAACGAGAGAAACCUGAAAAAUGUUAAGAGAAAUAGACAAUGAUAUAAUUUACAUGAUUAUAUCUUUUAGUGGUAUUUAAAUGUACAUAUUUCUAAAAUCGAUUUUUUUUGGUGUCAUCGAACUAAUUUUCCCUAAAAUGUAGAGUCCAUAUCUCUCAAAUGGCAGUGAACGAAUGAUAUCUCGAGUGGCAGUGAACGAUUUAAGUCAUUGUAGUGGAAUAUAUUUUGAGUUUCUUUAAAAAAAAGAAAGAAGAACACUCCGCAAGCUGCCGUGCUAGACUACAUAAAAGAACUGACUUUUAUAUCCUAGUUUAAUAUUAAUUAAAUGUGAUGACAUUGUAAAUCUUAUUACAAGAAAUUGGUCUAAACCGAACGCGCAUUGUUGUAUUUAACUUCAAAGUUCAUAAGAAUACUCCCGAUGACACCGUUGAUUUUUUCUUAUAUCUUUGACCAUUCGUCUUAUUUAAAAAUUUUAUGCAAAUAUAUAAGAUAUAAAUCAAGUACUAUGAGUGAUAAAACAACACAUAACAAAAUAAAUUAUAAUUACGUAAAUUUUUUGAAUAAGACGAAUGGUAAAACAUGUGAAAAAAAGUCAACGGCGUCACAGAGGUACACAGAGGUAGUACUACACCGAGUGCAUUUUGAUUAUUAUGCUUCCUCCAUUCUGAUAAUCACAAGCGCAAAGUAUUCCGUUGCGGACAAGUCAAGACAAUGUUAAAACGUUAAUUCCAUUGCACCAUCAUUAAAUCUAAGUUUGCUACAUAACGAGCAUAGAUUAUUGUUAAGUGAAAAUGAGAGAAGAGAUAGAAGUGCUAACUACAAAAAUUUCAAACUGUUGCAACUAAAACAAGAUAAUAAUGACAUAAAAAUUACAACCGUUCAUUCCAGCGUGCACCACUGGCAAUGCCUGCUGAUUUCAUCAUGUGGCAUUAGCAACAACAAUUUGUCAGAAAACUGGUUGCAUAUCAUGGAGCAAAACCUCCAAAUUUAGCCACAAAAUUCCCUCCCCAGAAAAAGAAACAAUUAGCCAAAGCUAACGAGGGACUAACAGAUGAUGUUGAAGUUACAUCCGUAAUAAGCUGAAGCCGAAGAUUCGCAAAGCAAUUCACACAAGUCGAUGGGUUCGUCCCUGGGGCCAUUACCAACAAACAUUUUGCCAAGACUUCGUGCUUAUUAAGGCGCCUGCUGGUAAAACUGUAAAGAACAAAUACCAUUGGGGCAAAGCAUGGAUGAAAACAAAGGAAAUGACUUGAAUGGCUCAGAUUAACCCGAUUGCCAAUUCCAAACAGUUUAAUGUGCCUGUGGCUCCGGCAAAAUGUAAAUACUCCCUCCGUCUCUCUGUACAUGAACAAAUGAGUAGAUUAGCAUGUACUAUCAAGAAAUGGCUGCAAGCCUGCAACUGGUACCUUGCUGGGCAGCAAGGCCUCCUAGUAUGACAGCUAACUGAACAUACUGCUAAUGAACCAACAAGAUAUUUAUUUUAGAUAAUGGAUUAAAACAUGGCCUCUACAUCCAAGACUGAUGUACAUGGCCAAGAACGAGAAGAUGUCAAAUCUUCAAGGGGUAGCCAAAUCAUCACAACCAUUCAAGAACUAAAGAAGUAACAAACAGCGAGAAGAUGUCAAAUCAUCUUCAAGGGGUAGCCAAAUCAUCACAGCCAUUCAAGAACUAAAGAAGUAACAAACAUCAAAAUAUGGAUGAACAGGAGUAUAUCCUUAAAGUAUGAAAGGACAAUAAUAAUGAUCACACUACAGCUAAGUUAAUAAAUAGUCAACAUUCCAUUCCUUAAGAAAAAAAGGAAUGAAUAAACUACAUAGAAAUGAAGAGAUAUUUAACUAUUUACAAGUGGCAAUUAAGGAUUUGCUACUGGAUCCACAAUGUCUGUCAUAGAUUGUGAGUAACAAAUUCUUAAUUGCCACAUCUUAAAAGUGGCAAAAAGUUAAAUGCCUCAGCAAAAGCAAAACUUGAAAGAGUUCCAACAUCUCGCAUAUGCUACUGUAUAUGAACAGGGCGACAUGCAAAUGACAACUGAGUGGCCUAAAUGGAAGUCAAAAUGAGAUCAACGAAUCUAAAAAAAAAUUGUUUGUAUAGUAAUAUUAAUUUCUCACCAAACAGAAACAAUACCAGAAUACCAGACUCAGAUCAUUACAAGCACAGCCAUAAGAAAGUAAGGAGGUAAAACAUGGUUGAAAACAAAGGAAAUAUACUUGAAUGGCUCAGAUUAGCCCAACUGUCAAUUCCCAAUUGUUACAAAUGCCUAUGGUUCUGGGCAACAUGUUGAUAGUACUCCCUCCGUAACUCCGUACAUGAACAAAUGAGUAGAAUCAUUCGUUACAUCAUGUACAGACAAGAAAUAGCUGCAACUGGUAACUUGCUGGGGAGCAAGGCCACCUAGUAUGACAGCUAGCUGAACAUAUUACCAAGGAACCAAGAAGAUACCAGAUGAUCUCGAGGGGGCAGCCAAAU
rnacentral:lncRNA from 1 species